UACGAAGGGGGCUAGCGUUGUUCGGAAUCACUGGGCGUAAAGCGCACGUAGGCGGAUCUUUUAAGUCAGGGGUGAAAUCCCGAGGCUCAACCUCGGAACUGCCUUUGAUACUGGGAUCUCGAGUCCGGGAGAGGUGAGUGGAACUGCGAGUGUAGAGGUGAAAUUCGUAGAUAUUCGCAAGAACACCAGUGGCGAAGGCGGCUCACUGGCCCGGAACUGACGCUGAGGUGCGAAAGCGUGGGGAGCCAAACAGG
rnacentral:rRNA from 1 species